rnacentral:tRNA from 1 species
GGUACUAUAAAAUUAAUAAGUUGCAAGCUUAUGAAAAAGAUGCUAUCUUAGUACUU